GAUGAAGAACGUAGCGAAAUGCGAUAAGUAAUGUGAAUUGCAGAAUUCAGUGAAUCAUCGAAUCUUUGAACGCACAUUGCGCCCCUUGGUAUUCCGAGGGGCAUGCCUGUUCGAGCGUCAUUAUAACCCCUCAAGCUCAGCUUGGAGUUGGGGCCUGCUGCACUGGCAGCCCUUAAAAUCAGUGGCGGCGCCAUCUGGCUCUAAGCGUAGUAAUUCUUCUCGCUAUGGAGUCCUGGUGGAUGCUUGCCAUCAACCCCCAAUUUUUCUAUGGUUGACCUCGGAUCAGGUAGGGAUACCCGCUGAACUUAAGCAUAUCAAUAAGCGGAGGA
rnacentral:misc_RNA from 1 species